UACGAAGGGAGCUAGCGUUGUUCGGAAUCACUGGGCGUAAAGAGCUCGUAGGCGGUUUGGCAAGUCAGGUGUGAAAUCUCCGGGCUCAACUCGGAGAGGCCACCUGAUACUGCUAUGACUAGAGUCCGGUAGGGGACCAUGGAAUUCCUGGUGUAGCGGUGAAAUGCGCAGAUAUCAGGAGGAACACCGGUGGCGAAGGCGGUGGUCUGGGCCGGCACUGACGCUGGAGGAGCGAAAGCGUGGGGAGCGAACAGG
rnacentral:rRNA from 1 species